GAUGAACGCUGGCGGCGUGCUUAACACAUGCAAGUCGAACGAAGCACCUUAUUCUGAUUUCUUCGGAAUGAAAAAUUUGGUGACUGAGUGGCGGACGGGUGAGUAACGCGUGGGUAACCUGCCUCAUACAGGGGGAUAACAGUUAGAAAUGACUGCUAAUACCGCAUAAGACCACAGCACCGCAUGGUGCAGGGGUAAAAACUCCGGUGGUAUGAGAUGGACCCGCGUCUGAUUAGGUAGUUGGUGGGGUAACGGCCUACCAAGCCGACGAUCAGUAGCCGACCUGAGAGGGUGACCGGCCACAUUGGGACUGAGACACGGCCCAAACUCCUACGGGAGGCAGCAGUGGGGAAUAUUGCACAAUGGGGGAAACCCUGAUGCAGCGACGCCGCGUGAGUGAUGAAGUAUUUCGGUAUGUAAAGCUCUAUCCGCAGGGAAGAAAAUGACGGUACCUGACUAAGAAGCACCGGCUAAAUACGUGCCAGCCGCCGCCGUAAAAC
rnacentral:rRNA from 1 species